rnacentral:rRNA from 1 species
AACGAACGCUGGCGGCAUGCCUAACACAUGCAAGUCGAACAGGAUCCUGGUUUCGGCCAGGUGAGAGUGGCGGACGGGUGAGUAACGCGUGGGAACCUGCCCAGUGGUGGGGGAUAACUGCGGGAAACUGCAGCUAAUACCGCAUGAGCCCGAGAGGGGAAAGAUUUAUCGCCAUUGGAGGGGCCCGCGUUCGAUUAGGUAGUUGGUGGGGUAACGGCCUACCAAGCCGACGAUCGAUAGCUGGUCUGAGAGGAUGAUCAGCCACACUGGGACUGAGAUACGGCCCAGACUCCUACGGGAGGCAGCAGUGGGGAAUAUUGGACAAUGGGCGAAAGCCUGAUCCAGCAAUGCCGCGUGAGUGAUGAAGGCCUUAGGGUUGUAAAGCUCUUUUACCAGGGAUGAUAAUGACAGUACCUGGAGAAUAAGCUCCGGCUAACUCCGUGCCAGCCGCCGCCGUAAUAC